GCGGGGUGGAGCAGCCUGGUAGCUCGUCGGGCUCAUAACCCGAAGGUCGUCGGUUCAAAUCCGGCCCCCGCA
rnacentral:tRNA from 2 species